rnacentral:rRNA from 1 species
CGCUGGCGGCGUGCCUAAUACAUGCAAGUAGAACGCUGAAGGAGGAGCUUGCUUCUCUGGAUGAGUUGCGAACGGGUGAGUAACGCGUAGGUAACCUGCCUGGUAGCGGGGGAUAACUAUUGGAAACGAUAGCUAAUACCGCAUAAGAGUAGAUGUUGCAUGACAUUUGCUUAAAAGGUGCAAUUGCAUCACUACCAGAUGGACCUGCGUUGUAUUAGCUAGUUGGUGAGGUAACGGCUCACCAAGGCGACGAUACAUAGCCGACCUGAGAGGGUGAUCGGCCACACUGGGACUGAGACACGGCCCAGACUCCUACGGGAGGCAGCAGUAGGGAAUCUUCGGCAAUGGACGGAAGUCUGACCGAGCAACGCCGCGUGAGUGAAGAAGGUUUUCGGAUCGUAAAGCUCUGUUGUAAGAGAAGAACGAGUGUGAGAGUGGAAAGUUCACACUGUGACGUAUCUACCAGAAAG